CUCCCGGGACGGAGGCGGGCGUGCAGACCGCCCGCCGCCCCCCAGGACCUGGCUGGUCGCCCCCUAAGACCGCCCGCCACCCCCAGGUCCACCUUCCGGAGCAGGCGUUAUGGUCACGCCUCUUUCUCCCCAAGCGGUAAAGCUCAUCUACCAAAGGAAGCUUUAGGAAUGCCAAUUUCGGGAUUGUUUGACAAGCUACUUCACUGCCUGGUGUAGUUCUUUGGGCAUCACGAAGCAAACAGCCAGGCUGUGAACAGCCUCCGGAUCCCAGGG